rnacentral:rRNA from 1 species
CCUACGGGAGGCAGCAGUGAGGAAUAUUGGUCAAUGGGCGCAAGCCUGAACCAGCCAUGUCGCGUGCAGGAUGAAGGCUCUAUGGUUUGUAAACUUCUUUUGUACGGGAAUAAACGGAGAUACGCGUUCCUUUUUGUAUGUACCAUACGAAUAAGGAUCGGCUAACUCCGUUCCAGCAGCCGCGGUAAUACGGAGGAUUCAAGCGUUAUCCGGAUUUAUUGGGUUUAAAGGGUGCGUAGGUGGUUGAUUAAGUCAGAGGUGAAAUUUUGUGGCUCAACUAUAGAAUUGCCGCUGAUACUGGUUGGCUAGAGAAUAGUUGAGGUAGGCGGAAUGUGUGGUGUAGCGGUGAAAUGCAUAGAUAUCACACAGAACUCCGAUUGCGAAGGCAGCUUACCAAGCUAUAUCUGACGCUGAGGCACGAAAGCGUGGGGAGCAAACAGGAUUAGAUACCCGAGUAGUC